rnacentral:lncRNA from 1 species
UGGCGUUUCUGUUGGCGGCGCUGGGCCAGCAACAUCAGGCAGUGGACUACGGGGAGCUGCCGUGGGUGGUGGCUACAGUUUCCACGAGAGUGGGGUGGGGGUGGCACACGUGGGGGCGACGGCAGCAAGUGGAUCCGCACCGCUGAGGUGCACAACCACUCUGAGAAGGUAAUGACCUUGCUUGCUGUCGUGCGCUUUGCUCUUCUCUUCUUGCCCUGUUCAAGUGCUAAUUCUUAAUUGCUUGUUGGGGUUGAUCAUUGGUUAGACCACAACAGCAGAGGAGUGGGAUCGGCGAGAAGAUUGAAGGUGUUGCGGACCCUGAUACUCAAUUCCAACAAGGUCAUGACCUUUUUUUCCUUCUUUCUUUGUCGGUGGAUUUGCGGCUGCUGAGUUCGUGUUUGUGAUGAAAUUAAUGAGUUAAUGUUUGCACUGGUUUGCAUGUUAUAGAUUAACAAGGCAUCUAUGCUUGACGAGGCCAUUGAGUAUGAGAAGCAGCUGUAUCUGGAAGUACAAGUUAGUAAGCAUGCCUGGAUGCAUGGUUGGAUGAUGAACUUAGAUUGAGGGAGAUGGUGGUCUCAUCGAGGACGUAUGCAUGUAAGAUCUCUAUGAUUAGGGCCCAAUGCUCAGUUAAUUUCUGAGUGAUGGAGUUCGUCGAAUAAAUGUGAACCACAUCAUCGGAAGGGGUGUUAUUCUAGCUUUAGUCGAUGCACAUUGUUCAGUUCAUAUAUGAUUCCAACGGCUUUACUUCCAUAUCACAGGUUUUCCCAAACCAAAUAUUAGUAAUGCCACAUGUAUACGAUUAGUGUCUAUUCAUUUGUUGUUUCCACUUCCAUUUUAUUGCCAGCAAGCAACAUUGACCUCAGACAUCUACUACUCAUUGCCUUUGCUAUACGGAUUUAUAUAAAAAACGAAAUUUAGCCUGCCAUGUAUGUGAACAUUUCUUCUGUUACAACUUACAAGGGCUCUCCAGGCUUAUGAUCUUUCUAGGAUAAUUGAUUGUUGAAUCUGAAGGUAUAUAAUCAGUUUCUUAACUCAUGUAUCUUUAUGCAUUUUUGUUCAUCCUCAAAAUAUUGUUGCUUACUUUCCUUGUCCUACAUUUUUGAGGUUGCUGAGGAGGUUCACUUCUUGUAGGCAGGGUAAAACUUGAGUCGCCUACAAAUGAUUUUGCCCGUUUGUUGAAGGUUUUUCUGGGCUUGUGCAUGGCGAGCCCGCUGGGCUGCUUAUGAGCAGUUUGCACUGUAGGUUGUCAAAUCCUUGCAAGAUAGAAUAUGUUUUUUGCAUUCUGGGCUUACAAUGGAGUAAUCAACAGCUACGACCAUGCAGGUAUGAACUUUGUAUGAGAGGCUAAGAUAGGCAUGGCGACAUGGAUCAUGGUAGUUGGUUUUGCUAGAUUUCAUGUGUCUAUCCAUCCGUGCUAUCUCCAGCAAUGCGUAUUUUUUCCAUGUAUCUCUCAUUCUUCCAUGUAGCUAGAGACUUAGAAUAACCAACGGAACAUUCUCAGUUUUGUGUUUUCGCUCUUCUCAGAUUUUACGCUGGGUGUAUAGAGAUGUGCGGCACACACGGAAUUCAGAUUUCAGUGGGAAUAUAUCAUUGUGCCAUGUUCAAAAUUAUAACUACAGAGAAGAAUGAAAUUUUGUGAUUAGGCUGCUGUGGUGUUUCUUUUUAAAUAAAUGGCAUGCUAACUUGCUGGUUUAAUUUAGGUGUGUAGGAUAGUGUCUCCUCUCCGUUGCAACAAACAACUUUCUCAGGUUUGUCCAGUGGUUUGAUGCAGCUGAACCAUAGAAGCAACCAAUAGCUAUUCUGAAUAACUAUGACUGUUCUCAGCUGAACCACACCUGUACUAGCUGAACCAAGGAAGCAACUUAUGAUCAAACCUGACAAUGGUUAGCAUGAUCAG